UUGAGACAUCUUUGGUGCAAAAUGGUGGUUUAAUAAAGCACGGGAACAGGACCCGUGGGCAGGAAGAGCUGCUGCCCUGGGUUGUGAGGUAUCAGUAUCAUGGCCAUGAGUGUCUUGUGGAUAUCUUACAAGAGCAAAGGCUGAAUGAUAGGACCCUCCAAGAUUUUCUGGUUUAUUUCCAUAGAGGACGCUUCUGAUGUCACUACUCUUCUCAUUGAAAGUAUCACUAGGAAACCCAACUGUUUUCCUUAUGCAUCCUCCAUUUUCACUUCCCCAAGGUAUGAGAGACAUACAUCUUAAGCAGUUCAAGUUCUGUGCUACAUGCUGAUGAUACAAAAAUCAGUAAGAAAAAAUUGCUGAUAUUCUAGUAGAGAAAAAGAAUAUACCGAAAAGACUCAAAUUUUAUAUCAGUUCUGCAUCUGUUUUUGGUACUUAAAUUGGAUAUUGGCAGAAAACACACUAUUCCCUGAAGGCAGAUUAUAUCUCAAAUUUAUUCAUAUGCAAUUCUAGGUAAUUAUAUCACAUUCCAAUUUCAAGUAAAAUUACUAACAUGAAGUAUCAUGUUUAUUUUGCCAUCAAAAUAGGUGCCUAUCUUUAUCACAAGGAAGCAAGAUUUUACUUGGUUUGAAAUAUGUCCACAUAGACACAGCAAAAUGGAUCAAACCUGAGAAGACAAGAAAGGGGAAUAGAUGUUGAGAGAAU